AUUGAACGCUGGCGGCAUGCCUUACACAUGCCAGUCGAACGGCAGCACGGGUGCUUGCACCUGGUGGCGAGUGGCGAACGGGUGAGUAAUACAUCGGAACAUGUCCUGUAGUGGGGGAUAGCCCGGCGAAAGCCGGAUUAAUACCGCAUACGAUCUACGGAUGAAAGCGGGGGACCUUCGGGCCUCGCGCUAUAGGGUUGGCCGAUGGCUGAUUAGCUAGUUGGUGGGGUAAAGGCCUACCAAGGCGACGAUCAGUAGCUGGUCUGAGAGGACGACCAGCCACACUGGGACUGAGACACGGACCAGACUCCUACGGGAGGCAGCAGUGGGGAAUGUUGGACAAUGGGCGAAAGCAUGAUCCAGCAAUGCCGCGUGUGUGAAGAAGGCCUUCGGGUUGUAAAGCACUUUUGUCCGGAAAGAAAUCCUUGGCCCUAAUACGGUCGGGGGAUGACGGUACCGGAAGAAUAAGCACCGGCUAACUACGUG
rnacentral:rRNA from 1 species